rnacentral:rRNA from 1 species
GAUGAACGCUGGCGGCGUGCCUAAUACAUGCAAGUCGAGCGGCAGCGCGAGUAGUUUACUACUUGGUGGCGAGCGGCGGACGGCUGAGUAACGCGUAGGAACGUACCCCAAAGUGAGGGAUAAGCACCAGAAAUGGUGUCUAAUACCGCAUGUGAUCUAAGGAUUAAAGCUUCGGCGCUUUGGGAACGGCCUGCGUUUGA